rnacentral:rRNA from 1 species
UACGUAGGGUGCAAGCGUUGUCCGGAAUUAUUGGGCGUAAAGAGCUCGUAGGCGGUUUGUCGCGUCUGCUGUGAAAACUCGGGGCUUAACUCCGGGCCUGCAGUGGGUACGGGCAGACUAGAGUGCGGUAGGGGAGACUGGAAUUCCUGGUGUAGCGGUGAAAUGCGCAGAUAUCAGGAGGAACACCGGUGGCGAAGGCGGGUCUCUGGCCGUAACUGACGCUGAGGAGCGAAAGCGUGGGGAGCGAACAGG